GCACCAGUUAGUACAGUGGUUAGUACGUAGCAAUAUCAGGUUCCUGGGAAUCCAUUUGCAAAUACCCAGACCUCUGCUAACGACCUGGGUUCGAUUCCCAGACUAGCA